rnacentral:rRNA from 1 species
CGUACGCUGGCGGCACGCCUAACACAUGCAAGUCGAACGCGGUAGCAAUACUGAGUGGCAGACGGGUGAGUAACAUGUGGGAAUCUGCCUUGUGGUUCAGGACAACAUUGGGAAACCGAUGCUAAUACUGGAUAAGCCCUUACGGGGAAAGUUUUAAUGCCAUAAGAUGAGCCCGCAUUUGAUUAGUUAGUUGGUGAGGUAAUGGCUCACCAAGACAAUGAUCAAUAGCUGAUCUGAGAGGAUGAUCAGCCACACUGGGACUGAGACACGGCCCAGACUCCUACGGGAGGCAGCAGUGGGGAAUCUUGCACAAUGGAGGAAACUCUGAUGCAGCGAUGCCGCGUGAGUGAAGAAGGCCUUUGGGUUGUAAAGCUCUUUUGUAGGGGAAGAUAAUGACUGUACCCUAAGAAUAAGGUCCGGCUAACUUCGUGCCAGCAGCCGCGGUAAUACGAAGGGACCUAGCGUAGUUCGGAAUUACUGGGCGUAAAGCGCGCGUAGGCCGUUGAGUUAGUUAAUUGUGAAAUCCCAAAGCUUAACUUUGGAACUGCAAUUAAAACUGCUCGACUAGAGUUUGAUAGAGGAAAGCGGAAUACAUAGUGUAGAGGUGAAAUUCGUAGAUAUUAUGUAGAACACCAGUUGCGAAGGCGGCUUUCUGGAUCAACACUGACGCUGAGGCGCGAAAGUAUGGGUAGCAAAGAGGAUUAGAUACCCUCGUAGUCCAUACCAUAAACGAUGAUUGCUAGAUGUUGGAAAUUUAUUUUCAGUAUCGCAGCUAACGCAUUAAGCAAUCCGCCUGGGGAGUACGACCGCA